AGGUCUUGCCUGCCCAGUGACAAGUUAAACGGCCGCGGUAUUUUGACCGUGCGAAGGUAGCGCAAUCACUUGUCUUUUAAUGAAGACCUGUAUGAAUGGCGGAACGAGGGCUUAACUGUCUCCCCUUUCAAGUCAAUGAAAUUGAUCUGCCCGUGCAGAAGCGGGUAUAUAAAUACAAGACGAGAAGACCCUUUGGAGCUUAAGAUAUAAAAUCAACUACGUCAAGGGCACAAACCAAACUAAGUAGCACCUGAUAAAUAUCUUCGGUUGGGGCGACCACGGGAGAAAAUAAAGCUCCCAUGCGGACUGGGGCUACACCCUAAAACCAAGAAAGACAUUUCUAAGUCACAGAACAUCUGACCAUAAAGAUCCGGCCACCCGCCGAUCAACGGACCAAGUUACCCUAGGGAUAACAGCGCAAUCCCCUUUCAGAGUCCAUAUCGACAAGGGGGUUUACGACCUCGAUGUUGGAUCAGGACAUCCUAUUGGUGCAGCCGCUAUUAAGGGUUCGUUUGUUCAACGAUUAAAGUCCUACGUGAUCU
rnacentral:rRNA from 1 species